rnacentral:lncRNA from 1 species
CCACAUUCUGUCUUAAGAGAAAAGCCCCAGAAGGAAAGAGAUUAACCCAGAAUUUUGGAGAAAGUUGUCAUUAAGAGGCAGGUGGAGGGACUGGUUAAAAAAGGGUGAAAAAGUGGUGGGGUCGGGUGUAGAAAGAGAGCAAUUAGGAAAAGUGGCACUCCAGGAAGUUAAGGGACAAGUCUCAACAGAGAGCAUGGGUGACAAUGUCAAAUGCCACCUAAAUAUUAUGUGCUGGAGGCCUGAGCAGUGUCCUGUGGAUUUAGCAAGGCUGCUGGUGAGCUCAGCACAAGCUGCUGCUGUGGGGUGAGUGGAGGGCGCAUUGGUGCCACCAGGAGGGAAGGAAGGAGUGGCCCACUAGCAGCCUUAGUGGAAGAUGCCCUAGAGAGGAGAGGGGUUGAGGAUUUCUGGAUCGAGGGAGAAGACUGCAGGGCUCAAAUCCUGGAGAGGCUGGGGAGGAGGGUCCAGGGCCAGACCUUGGGAGAGAGGAGGCCCUGUCAACUGGCACAUGGGAAGGUCAGGAGGCAGGCGAAGGCCGCUGGGCUCUGGGCCCUACUGUCCUCAGUGAAAUAGCUGCUGAGGAUAUUUUCUGAGUGUCUGGCUAGUGGUUGCAAAAAGCCCAGAGGAGGUUGCAAGAGGUGAGGCAGCUGAUCAAAGCAAGUGGAAGGGUAGGCCCCGAGGCCCAGCUGGAGAGGGAGGCAGAGGUUCCUGGCGCUGUGGCUGUGCAGAAGCAGCUUUCCUGCAGCCUGAGUGCCUGUGGAGCUGGGGUGGGAAGGCAGAGCGGACACUAGCCUGGGUUGGGGAUUGUAAGGAGGCUGAGCUGAGCUGUAGGGACAAAGGCCCAGCGAUGUGGAUGCUGGUGAGAGUAGCUCCAAGAAGUGAAAGAAGGAAGGGAAGCCUGGAUGUUGAGAACCCAGAGAGACUCUGGAGCCCUCCAUGAGCAUCCCCAAAGAACAUUCAAGUCUGAGCCUCAAGGAGCCUCUGCGACUCGGUGUCUAGAUCCAGGAAAUGGAGAAUGAGCCGUGACUUUGGAUGCUUCACUCUUGUCCAUCAGGCUCGGAAUUGGGUAGCCCGGCUCUGCAGGGACAGUCACGGAGCUGAAAAACUGCUGCCUAAUGAAGCUGUUUUCUUCUACCACCGGCUCACCCUCAAAUUAUUUCCUGAGCGAACUCAAGAACCUUCCUGGGCUAAGCCCCAAUUUUGGGGCUCGCCUGCCCCUGCAUCACAGCUUCCUCUUCUGUUCACAGCUGCAACCGCCUACUCAACCUUCUGCGGUUCCUCUCCCUGCCCCUCCACAGUGGCUGCUGAUGGGAGCUCUGGCUCCCUGCGUUUUCACUAUCUCCCAGUCAAAUGCAGAGUCCCUGUGCAAUUUAAAUGCUUCUCAGCUAAGAACAGAGAAGGGGAUAGCAUAAGGAUAUUCAAAAGAUUCAAGAAAUCUCAAAAGUGAUCACAAAACAUUUGUCUCUGACCAACCAGAAACAUCGACGGGUGAGAAGGGCAUUUCCUCUAGCUGAAUUCUUCAUGGGUCUUCAGGCUCUGUUUUCACUUUGGAUUUUCUGGAGUCUCCUGAAGGUUACCUGAAAUCUUGUUGGUCCUGAAUAUUGUAUGUGGAGUCCCAAGCUGCAAGAAGUCAGUGGGGCUGGACGGGAGCCAAAAUCAGAGACUCAAGCAGCACAGCUGGGCCCCAUUGAAAGUGAGACCAGCUGUCCCAGUUGGAAGCUGGGGUAUAGAGCUGGGGAUGGGUGGAGGCAGUGACAGGCUCCAUGUAUUGGUCAUUCAGACUCCCCAGUAGCCUCAGGACCCAACUCCCACAGGUCAGAGAAGACCUGGUGGAGGGCCUUAUGCAAACCUCAGUGGGUGAUGCAGGAGGGAGUUUUCUGAGCAGGAAUGCCAACAAAAAAGGCCUUCAAAGGAAGGCCCUGCUUGGGACAAUCCUGCCUCUUUAUGGUCUGGUUCACAGGUUCCCCUGGGUGGGGUAAUGGAAUCCAAGCUAAGGUGUCUGACUUCAAAAGUUUUCAGAAAUGCCACUUUUGUAAGCAUCAGGGAUUGGGUUUUCUGAGAUGCAAAACAUCUUUGUUAAGGGGUUAAAGCAUCCUUAAGCUGUUUAGGUUUCUGGGGAUACAUAGACUUAGGAAGUUAGAGCAGGUGAAGUUGAGGGGGAUGGGAACUAAGAAUUAGCUCAAAAUAGUCACCAAUGCAGAAACCCAGGCACUUGGGACCCUGACAGUGGGGAAGGCAGAGGAGUAACUGUGGGGACUUGGGCACCCUAUUAGCAGAAUGGGGUAACAGAGAAGGCAAGAAUUGCUUCCCAGGAGACUGGGCUGGGAACAGGAAGGGGACUAAAAUGCUGUCCCUGGCUGAAGAGUGUGGAGGUAUAGAGGAGCUGGUAGCAGGGCUCUGAAUCCAUACACGAGAGCAAGGACCAGUGGUUUCAGGGUGGGAUAGGGCUUUGAUGUCUUCAUGGACUUAGGGUAAUAUUCACCACCAUGGUGAAUUCCACAAAGGAGAAUUCACACAAAGGUCUCGGACCAGCCAGUUUCCAUGUGAAAAAGCCAUCUGGGAGCAAGGGAACAAACCCAGGAAUACAACUGUAUUGGGGGAAAUUCAGCCAGACAUAGGGCAAAAUUCACCCCCAAUAUUUCAUGUAGGUUCUUUUCUAUUUUCCGUAAGUGUCGGCCGGUCUGAGAAAUAAAGGGACAGAGCUCAAAAGAGAGAAAUUUUAAAGCUGGGUGUCUGGGGGAGACAUCACAUGUCGGCAGGUUCCGUGAUGCCCCCCGAGCCGUAAAACCAGCAAGUUUUUAUUCGUGAUUUUCAAAAGGGGAGGGGGAGUGUAUGAAUAGGGUGUGGGUCACAGAGAUCACAUGCUUCACAAGAUAAUAAGAUAUCACAAGGCAAAUGGAGGCAGGGCGAGAUCACAGGACCACAGGACCGGGGCAAAAUUAAAAUUGCUAAUGAAGUUUCGGGCAUGCAUUUUCAUUGAUAACAUCUUAUCAGGAGACAGGGUCUGAGAGCAGACAACCGGUCUGACCAAAAUUUAUUAGGCGGGAAUUUCCUCGUCCUAAUAAGCCUGGGAGCGCUAUGGGAGACUGGGGCUUAUUUCAUCCCUACAGCUUUGACCAUAAAAGACGGCCGCCCCCCGAAGCGGCCAUUUCGGAGGCCUACCCUCAGGGACACAUUCUCUUUCUCAGGGAUGUUCCUUGCUGAGAAAAAAAAUUUAGCGAUAUUUCUCCCAUUUGUUUUUGAAAGAAGAAAAAUAUGGCUCUGUUCUGCCUGGCUCACCGGCAGUCAGAGUUUAAGGUUAUCUCUCUUGCUCCCUGAACAUUGCUGUUAUCCUGUUCUUUUUUCAAGGUGCCCAGAUUUCAUAUUGUUCAAACACACAUGCUCUACAAACAAUUUGUGCAGUUAACGCAAUCAUCACAGGGUCCUGAGGCGACAUACAUCCUCCUCAUUUUACAAAGAUGAUGGGAUUAAGAGAUUAAAGACAGGCAUAGGAAAUCACAAGGGUAUUGAUUGGGGAAGUGAUAAGUGUCCAUGAAAUCUUCACAAUUUAUGUUCAGAGAUUGCAGUAAAGACAGGCGUAAGAAAUUAUAAAAGUAUUAAUUUGGGGAACUAAUAAAUGUCCAUGAAAUCUUCACAAUCCACAAUUAUUCUGCCAUGGCUUCAGCCGGUCCCUCCAUUUGGGGUUCCUGACUUCCCGCAACACAAGUGGAGAGAGAGGUGGCCUGACAUUAUGGCUAAGUUGAUAUGGAAGCAUUCUGGUUUGUUCUAGAAAAAAUGAAAGAGGUGGUGCAGGUAAUCAUCAGCUCCUGGUUCUGUAGCAAGGCUUUUGCUGCAAUCCCAGGAGGUAGCAACCUAGGCUUUGGUUCUGAAAGAAGAGGGUCUACCUUCCUGAAUCAUUUUUAGGAGUCUGCUGAUGGCCAGGCUUGGUGAGUUGGACUCUGUAAGGAAUUUUUAUUUAAGUGAGGUCUGGGUAGGAAAAGAGAAGGGAAAAACUUGACCCUGCCUGCACCAAAGGAUUCUGGGAAGGAGAAUAAAGAGAAAAACCCUUCUUCAUGUUUCUGCUUCAGAGCAGGAGAACCAUCACAAGCUAAGUAAAGUCAAUGAAGGGCGAGUGGCCCUAUGGCCACCUGGGCACACACCUGCCCCUUGGCCACCUUGCAUAGGCAGGCUGAGGAGGUCACUAAGGCUUGGUUUUCCUGACCUGCCCUGAUUCCACAUGCUGUAAGGAGGACCCAGAAGGCUGUGUGGCUACAGAGGUGCCCAGCAUGGUGGGGGUCACUUCAGUGUGGACACUAGACUGGACCGCGUGGAACUACAACCAGCUCAGAGCGCCAGCCAGAGUGCUGUUCUGGCCAGAAGGAGGAGCCAAGACCCACACCCAGGAGGACAAUGAGCCCCUCUCUGCAGACAGGAGCCAGCCACACCUGGGGUCUGGGGAGACUCUUCCUGAUUCCAAAUGGGACUGAACUUUAAACCAGACUGGGCAUUUGAGCAAUUUUUUAAAAGCUGUCAACCAAAUAAAGGAAUGCCA